CGUGAUGUGCUUAGUGUUCUUAUAAAAAAGAAACAUCAGAUCUCUCCGUCUCUGAGUCUCUGUGUCCAUCUCCCCACUAUGUGCCUCGUGAGGACACAAUAGGAAUACAAAGUCUGCAAUCAAGAGAAAGCCUUACCGGAACCUGACCGUACUAAAUAGCCUGUUGGCCUCGGACCUUCCUGCUUCUAGGACUACGAAAACUUAUCUCUUCUCUUUAAGCCACUCAGCCCACUCCAAGGAUUUCAUUCCAUUUUGCCAGCUCAGCCAGACCAAUUAUUAUUAGGUUGAGCUGCCUGAAUCUUAAAAAGUCCCAAGUGGAGCUGGAGAGACACUUCAAUGGGCAACAGCAUGUACCGCUAUUGCAGAGGAACCAAGGUUAUUUCCCAACACCAACGUAGCAGUUCAUAUUCACCCAUAACAAUCAUCCAUAAAUUAAGUUCAGGGAAUCCCAGAACAUGGCUCACACACAUGCUUACAAGCAAAACCCUCACACACAUAAAAUAAAUACAUAUUUUUAAAACACGCUAAA